GCCGAACCGUGCGAACGUUGUUCGGAAUCACUGGGCUUAAAGGGUGCGUAGGCGGGUUGUCCAGUCUGGGGUGAAAUCCCACGGCUCAACCGUGGAACUGCCUCAGAUACUGACGACCUCGAGGGAGGUAGGGGCGAGCGGAACUGUGGGUGGAGCGGUGAAAUGCGUUGAUAUCCACAGGAACUCCGGUGGCGAAGGCGGCUCGCUGGACCUCUUCUGACGCUGAGGCACGAAAGCGUGGGGAGCAAACCGG
rnacentral:rRNA from 1 species